UAUAAUAUAGCUUUAUGAGUUUUGUAGUUUUUGUGGUACUUGCAUUUUAACAAAAAUAAUGGAAUUAGUCUGCUUAUAGAAUUAUAGGCAUCAUUGAACCUCAACUAAAUAUGUAAAUAGAAGAUGACUAGAUAUCAUUUUACUAUUUUUAUCUCUGAGGAAGAAUUUGGGUGACAAAUUUCUGUGCCUUUUUUUUUCUUUUGGUAAGAGCAUUUCUGAAAUUAUACCAAACAAGCAGCCAUAUACUGUAGCAAAUCAUAAGGCCAACCCCAAUUUUAUAGAUGGUUGUCCAAGUUUCUGAAAACUAUAAUGUAAUCAGUAUUUUGACAUUAAAACCAUAUAUUUUGCCUCUGGUUCUCAAUUUUCUCAAUUUCUUCAUCUAUAGAAUGAGUGUAUCAAUACUUAGAUGUUCCAAAUCUAUUCUAGCUUCACCCAACUUAUUUUAUAAUUGUUUUAGCUCUGAAAUUCUAUAAUUAUUACAUCAAAUUGGACUAGAUACUGAAUAUAUUAAUAAUUGCAUUGUUUAAUAGAGGGAAUUUUAACAUCUUUGUAUAUUUCAGAAUCAUCCCUGUGAAUUAAGAUUGCUUUAAUUUUUGCUAUGCAAAGAUACUAAUUAGUGGAGUGUUACGGUUUCUAUGGCCUAGUAAUGUUUACUAGGUGAAAUAAAAACAUACUUCUUUUCUGUGCCCUAAAUUCCAAUUUAAAAGGAUAAGAGAAAAAAACAAGAUUUUUGUGACCUUGCUGGACAUUUUAGCUAAGAUUUUGAUUUGAAAGUACAUUUUAAUAGAAAAUAGUAAUGCAAUAUUGUUGUGUCACAGAGUCUUAAAUAGGAGGGUUCAUAAAUGAGGUAACUUGUUUUUCUGGACUUAUGGCCCAUUGGGGAAAGACAGAUUGUUUUUACUACUUAGAAUGUUUUCAUGCCUUUUUGUGCUGUAUCAGGAAUAUAACAACAGCUAUUAUUUUGCCAGCACAUUAUGGGCAGGGGCCCUAUAGAAAAAGACAAGGGAUCUUGGUCAGUAAGUUUCCUGACCAAGCUGCUGAACCAAAGCCAAAGAAAGUUUUUAAACAUCUGCAAGCUUUUUUGUUAGUACUGAUGGGGCAGUUUGCCUAUUUUUCUCUCUCAGAUUUAUGAUUAUUUUAUUAUUUUACUGUAAUUAUUUUAAGACCAUUUUUUAUUAGGCUAGAAAGAGAACUGUAAGUGAAUGUAUGAUACUUUACUAAUGGGGAAAAGGUGAGAAUAAUAGCUCAACUGGAAACAAGAAAGCUAAAAUUGUGGUAGCACUUCCUCCUGGUAUUUAGCUUAGGCUUAAGCAGAGUUGUCUGAAAGUUAACAGGAAAAGAAACUACUUGUGAAGUGUUAAAACCACAACCUAAGAGAAAUUUUUUUUAUCAUAUCAUAUUAUACUGUAUUAAGAACUACUUGUCACAGUUAACCUGAUUUAGUAGUAUUCAAUAAAUAUACUUUCCCUCAAACCUCAGGUAAAAACAAACAAAAAACACUGAAUCCCAGCAUCAGUAGCUGGUUUGUUUCUUUUUCAUUCUCCUGGAGCCAAGUGUGUAACAAUAGUAGUGCCGUGCCAUCUUUCUAUUAGGCAAAGAAUGACAGUUAAGCUUUCCAUUCCUCACAAAAGAACUAUACUCUAAAGUUAAAAUUCAUAUUAAUUAUUUGAAACUCUGAACUUACUUUCUCACUCAGACAAACCCUUAAGCCAACCCACAAAAGCUGAUUUUAACUGUGUAGGGUUGCUGAACUAUAAAGCUGGAAGCAGAAAUGAAGUUUAGAUUCUACUCUAGCAAUAUUUCUAUGAAAAAAAAA